rnacentral:rRNA from 1 species
CCGGCGACCGGCGCACGGGUGAGUAACACGUAUGCAACCUGGCCGCCACAGGGGGAUAACCCGUGGAAACGCGGCCUAAUACCCCGUGACGCCACCGGAGGGCAUCCUCCGGUGGCCAAAGGAGCGAUCCGGUGGCGGAUGGGCAUGCGGCGCAUUAGCUAGACGGCGGGGUGACGGCCCACCGUGGCGACGAUGCGUAGGGGUUCUGAGAGGAAGGCCCCCCACACUGGGACUGAGACACGGCCCAGACUCCUACGGAAGGCAGCAG